AUACUCUGGUUUCUCUUCAGAGCAAAUAAAUCUUUCACCUUUUUCUAAAGAUUUCCGUGGAGAGGAACAACAAUGGCCCAGAUUACGAUUUUUGCGUUAGAGGCUAUGUGGUGCUAA